rnacentral:rRNA from 1 species
GACGAACGCUGGCGGCGUGCUUAACACAUGCAAGUCGAGCGGUAAGGCUCCUUCGGGAGUACACGAGCGGCGAACGGGUGAGUAACACGUGAGCAAUCUGCCCUUCUCAUCGGAAUAACCAUUGGAAACGAUGGCUAAUGCCGAAUAUGACUCCGGACUGCAUGGUCUGGAGUGGAAAGCUCCGGCGGAGAAGGAUGAGCUCGCGGCCUAUCAGCUUGUUGGUGAGGUAAUGGCUCACCAAGGCAUUGACGGGUAGCCGGCCUGAGAGGGUGACCGGCCACACUGGGACUGAGACACGGCCCAGACUCCUACGGGAGGCAGCAGUGGGGAAUAUUGGACAAUGGGCGAAAGCCUGAUCCAGCAACGCCGCGUGAGGGAUGACGGCCUUCGGGUUGUAAACCUCUUUCAGCAGGGACGAAGCGAAAGUGACGGUACCUUGUAUAAGAAGGACCGGCCAACUACGU